AUGCAAGUCGAGGGGUAACGGAAGUAGCUUGCUACUAGACGACGACCGGCGCACGGGUGAGUAACGCGUAUGUAAUCUGCCUUGUACAGAGGGAUAGCCCAGAGAAAUUUGGAUUAAUACCUCAUAGUAUUACCGAAUCGCACGAUUCGGUAAUUAAAGCUCCGGCGGUACAAGAUGAACAUGCGUGACAUUAGCUAGUUGGUAAGGUAAUGGCUUACCAAGGCCACGAUGUCUAGGGGUUCUGAGAGGAUGAUCCCCCACACUGGUACUGAGACACGGACCAGACUCCUACGGGAGGCAGCAGUGGGGAAUAUUGGUCAAUGGACGCAAGUCUGAACCAGCCAUCCCGCGUGAAGGAUGACUGCCCUAUGGGUUGUAAACUUCUUUUAUAUGCAAAUAAACCUACUUUCGUGAAAGUAGCUGAAGGUAGCAUAUGAAUAAACACCGGCUAACUCCGUGCCAGCAGCCGCGGUAAUACGGAGGGUGUAAGCGUUAUCCGGAUUUAUUGGGUUUAAAGGGUACGUAGGCGGUAAUAUAAGUCAGUGGUGAA
rnacentral:rRNA from 1 species